GCCCGGUUAGCUCAAUCGGUAGAGCGUGAGACUCUUACUAUAUCGUCAUCUCAAGGUUGCGGGUUCGACCCCCGCAUCGGGCU